rnacentral:rRNA from 1 species
AGUCACUGACAUUAGAUACCCGUGUAGUCCAGGGUGUAAACGCUGCAGACUUGGUGUUGGAGGCCCUUUGGGGGCAUUCAGUGCCGGAGAGAAGUUGUUAAGUCUGCUACUUGGGGAGUACGUCCGCAAGGAUGAAACUUAAAGGAAUUGACGGGGGAGCACCGCAACGGGAGGAGCGUGCGGUUUAAUUGGAUUCAACACCGUAAACUCACCAGGGAAGACUGUUACAUGAAGGCCGAGAUGAAGACUCUGCUAGAUUUUCAG